AAUCAACGCUGGCGGCGUGCCUCAGACAUGCAAGUCGAACGAGAAAGUCCCCUUCGGGGGAUAAGUAAAGUGGCGCACGGGUGAGUAACACGUAGGUAAUCUACCUUCGGGUGGGGAAUAACCCAGGGAAACUUGGGCUAACACCGCAUAAUGCAGCGGCACCACAUGGUGACAGUUGUUAAAGCGGGGGAUUUUCGAACCUCGCGCCUGAAGAGGAGCCUGCGGCGGAUUAGCUAGNGGUGAGGUAACGGCUCACCAAGGUCACGAUCCGUAGCCGGCCUGAGAGGGCGGUCGGCCACACUGACACUGACAUACGGGUCAGACUCCUACGGGAGGCAGCAGUCGGGAAUUUUGGGCAAUGGGCGAAAGCCUGACCCAGCAACGCCGCGUGAAGGGAUGAAAUCCCUCGGGAUGUAAACUU
rnacentral:rRNA from 1 species